rnacentral:rRNA from 1 species
CCUACGGGAGGCAGCAGUAGGGAAUCUUCCGCAAUGGACGAAAGUCUGACGGAGCAACGCCGCGUGAACGAAGAAGGCCUUCGGGUCGUAAAGUUCUGUUGUUAGGGAAGAACAAGUACCAGAGUAACUGCUGGUACCUUGACGGUACCUAACCAGAAAGCCACGGCUAAAUACGUGCCAGCAGCCGCGGUAAU